GCGGCGGAUCUCUCCCGCUGCCCGUGCCCUGGGUCCCAGGAAGCGCCCUCGCUGUGUGACGCUAAACAAGUGUGCACACCUCUCUGAGCCUCAGGGACUAAUAGCAAAAUGGUGGAGCUGGUACCCGGCUGUACGGCAAAUUGGGAGCGGCGUAGGGUAGCGCUUAAGAGCGAGGACUCUGUGGAGUCCUUACUCCGCCGCCAGAUAACUUCCGUAAACUAAAGAUAAUAAUAGUGCCACCUCAUAGGUUUGUUAAGAUUAAGUGAGUUAAUAUUUAUAAAGUGUUUAGAACAGUGUCUGUUUCGUGCUAAGUGCUAUUUAAGUAUUUGUUAGACUAACUACGGGAGGUCUCGCUCCGACAUUUUCUCCUAACCCCCGUCCACCCCCAACAUUCCUGUUUGCCAGCCAAUCCUUGCUUUCGCACGGGCUGGGCCUUCUGCCUGAAAAUCCAUACCCACCUCUUCUCUGGGCUUUCGCAUCAUUCCUUUGUGAAGUCUUCUCUACUCCUGACAGGACAUGUGAGUCUAUGGCAACAGACAGGCAUGUCUCCACAAGGCAGAUUAUGCCAGAAUAUGCGUGGGACCAUUUCAACGACCCUCAGGCUGAUUUGACUGUCUCCUGGUCCUGAUUCUAAGUUUGUAGACAAGAGAAGCAUAUCAGCCCAGUUUGGGUGCCACGUGCCAGACACAGGAUGAAGCCAUAGGCAAAUGAGAGCCUCUCGUGGAAUUGCCAGCUGAGUGGGUAAACAAACAACAAUGGGACAACGGUAAUACAAUGUGACUAUUGCCACCAUGGAGUUUUGCUCAGGGUGCCAAAAACCCAGGGAGGAACCAAAGGAAGGCUGAUUCUUGGUGCAGGAACAGGAACUUAAAGAGAGUGUAGCAUACCGUGGGAACAGCAAGCAUCAAGGCAGUGAAAGAUGGUUUGCAAUGGCUAGAGCACAAGGAAGGCUCAAGGGACAGAGGGAGUGGAGCCUGGAGAGGUCAGAGGGGUGGUCCAUGGAGGGCCUUGAAUGCUGGGCUAAGGAACUAGAACUUUCCACCAUAGGCAAUGGGGAGCCAUUGGAGGAUUGUGAGCUGGGGAGGGACAUGGUCAGAUUUGUGUCUUAGAAUGACAACGUGUGGCAGCUGGUUUGGGAGAAUGGGCUGGAGCAGAAAAGGCCAGGCAGAGCAGCCAGGAGAGGACGAGACAUAGUCCAGGUGGGAGAAGCCAAGGCCUAACUAGGGCAGGACAGGUGGGUGGCUCAGCAGGUGUGAGCACCUCUGGGCAUAAGAACCGAGGUCAGCGUGGGGCAGACACGCUGCAGAGCUGGCCCCAUCAGGGCGACUGGGCGUUUUCCAGGCUUGAGGUCAAAGACAGGCUGAGGCAGGCAGGAGCUCUAGGAACUCUUGGCCUUUGGGCUGGGGUAGGCUCAAGGUCAGCAGAUGCAGCUGGGUCUGGGUCUAGAGACUUGGGAGGUCCACAGCAGGACUCCAGCCUGCAUGCAGGAAUCAGGGCAAAGUCCAGCCCCGGAAAAGAGUUCCCAGGAGCCAGGCAGGGUGUCAGAGCCCUGGUCCUGAAGGAAGAGGCUACAAGGCAAAGAGCAGAGGACUCCUGCCUCCAGUUCCUUUAUGUCAUGAACCACUUCCCUUCUAUGGCUACCUGUGAAGAUGGGCUACGGAGGCACCUGGGGCUACUUUCUUGCUCAUGCUUCGUCCGUCUUCAGAUGAGGCUCCCCUCAGACUCAUCUUGAGUCCAAUGACCAUCUGCCCCCAUCCUGGGGAACCGAAGCCUGCAUGGGGUCUGACCUGCCCCUGGCUCCAAGCUCUGGUGAUGAUGGACUCGGGCAUGGCUCCACCCACAAAGCGUGCAGUUGGAAUGCCACAUUGACCGCCAGGAAGUUUCUUGUAAAGAUAUAUACACUUACAUUACAAUCCAGCAGUCCCACUGGUAGGUAUUUACCCAACAUGGAGGAGAGAGUAUGUUCACCCAAAGACUUGUAGGUAAAAGGUCAUAACAGCUCUCUUUGUAAUAGCCGAAGACUGGAAACGAUCUACAUGCUCACUGACAGGUGACUAAAGAAACAAAUUAUACAAUGGGGCACUACUCAGCAACGAAAAAGCACGAGCUAGUAAUGCAUGCAGCAACAUGGACAAAUGUCAAAGCCAGUUGAAUGAAAGAAGCCAGAAAAGAGAGAGAGCAUACAUAAUGCGUGUGAUUCCAUUUUUAUGAAAUUCUCGGAAAUGCAAACUAACCUGUGUUGACAGAAAGCAGACCCAUGGUUAUCUGGGAUGGAGGGUGGCGGAGGGAUGACAAGGAGGAUGACCAAGGGGAUGAAGACCUUUCGGAGGUGAUAGAUAAUGUGCAUUAUCUUGGUGGUGGCGAGAGUUUCAAGUGCGGAUACAUGUGUCAAAACUUGUCAGAUUGUAUCAUUUAAGCAUGUGCUGUUUCUUGUACGUCGGUUAUACCUCAAUAAAGCUGUCUGAAAACUCUGA